GUGCCAGCAGCGGCGGUAAUACGGAGGGUGCAAGCGUUAAUCGGAAUUACUGGGCGUAAAGCGCACGCAGGCGGUCUGACAAGUCGGAUGUGAAAUCCCCGGGCUCAACCCGGGAACUGCAUUCGAAACUGUCAGGCUGGAGUCUUGUAGAGGGGGGUAGAAUUCCAGGUGUAGCGGUGAAAUGCGUAGAGAUCUGGAGGAAUACCGGUGGCGAAGGCGGCCCCCUGGACGAAGACUGACGCUCAGGUGCGAAAGCGUGGGGAGCAAACAGGAUUAGAUACCCUGGUAGUCCACGCCGUAAACGAUGUCGACUUGGAGGUUGUGCCCUUGAGGCGUGGCUUCCGGAGCUAACGCGUUAAGUCGACCGCCUGGGGAGUACGGCCGCAAGGUUAAAACUCAAAUGAAUUGACGGGGCCCGCACAAGCGGUGGAGCAUGUGGUUUAAUUCGAUGCAACGCGAAGAACCUUACCUGGUCUUGACAUCCACAGAACUUGGCAGAGAUGCCUUGGUGCCUUCGGGAACUGUGAGACAGGUG
rnacentral:rRNA from 1 species